rnacentral:tRNA from 1 species
GAUCCAAUAGCUCAGGGAUUAGGGCAUUGGCCUUGUAAACCAGGAGUCAUGAGUUCAAGUCUUACUGGGGCCU